rnacentral:rRNA from 1 species
GAUGAACGCUGGCGGCGUGCCUAAUACAUGCAAGUCGAGCGAACAGACGAGGAGCUUGCUCCUCUGACGUUAGCGGCGGACGGGUGAGUAACACGUGGAUAACCUACCUAUAAGACUGGGAUAACUUCGGGAAACCGGAGCUAAUACCGGAUAAUAUAUUGAACCGCAUGGUUCAAUAGUGAAAGACGGUUUUGCUGUCACUUAUAGAUGGAUCCACGCCGCAUUAGCUAGUUGGUAAGGUAACGGCUUACCAAGGCAACGAUGCGUAGCCGACCUGAGAGGGUGAUCGGCCACACUGGAACUGAGACACGGUCCAGACUCCUACGGGAGGCAGCAGUAGGGAAUCUUCCGCAAUGGGCGAAAGCCUGACGGAGCAACGCCGCGUGAGUGAUGAAGGUCUUCGGAUCGUAAAACUCUGUUAUUAGGGAAGAACAAAUGUGUAAGUAACUAUGCACGUCUUGACGGGACCUAAUCAGAAAGCCACGGCUAACUACGU